AUGAGCAUAGAGAAUUAGUUUGCCUCAAAGUCGACAUAGUUUGACAUCUACAAUUUGCUAAACCCUCUCUAUAAUGUUAUUCACUUUUCUUAUCAACUCUCACAAAACUUUCCACAAAAUAUUUCGAACAUUAACCACUUAGUGAAAGUAUUUAAUGAAGGAUAUCCAAGAAUCGUCAUCUUCUCAUCGGAUUUUCAACAUUGAAUCAAGAUCAAAGAUCCGCCUAUAUAUCUUGAAGAUCCGACCAUAAAUCUUGAAGGUAUGUUGUUUUACUUUGUUGUUUAUGUAGUAUACAUCUUUAAUCUAAGAGAUUGAACAUGUUUAUUUUUUUCUUAAACCAAAAUCUACAUCAGAUGUUUUUUGUUGAUUUUUGUUAUGUAUAAAAUCAAGUUUCCGGGUUUUUCUUAAUCAUCUAUUCCACAUUUAUCGCAGUUAAUGAUUUUGGUUGUUGUAUUUUUUCAUGUGAUUCCUUACAUCCGUUAUAACAAUCUGAAUCCCACCAUUCGUCAAGCAACAGAG
rnacentral:lncRNA from 1 species